rnacentral:lncRNA from 1 species
CACACGUGCAGCAUAUGGAAGUUCCCAGGCUAGGAGUCAAAUAAGAGCUAUAGCCACCUGCCUACACCACAGCCACUGCAACUUAAGACCCAAAUCACAUCUGUGGACCUAUACCACAGCUUACAGCAAUGCUGGAUCCUUAACCCACUGAGUGAGGCCAGGGAUGGAACCUGCACCUCAUGGAUACCUAGUUGGGUUCGUUACCACUGAGCCACAACCGUAACUCCGAAUGCAUAUUUUUGAAAAUGCUGUGUGCACAGUGCAAGAGAUAUCACCCUCAUACUCUAGGGUUGCACAUUUCUUAGGUUUUCUCCCUAAGCAGGAAGUUUUUCUUUAUAAUGAAUUUUAAAAAGUAUUUUUUUAUAUUUGUAUAUUUUACAGGUUUCCCAAACAAAGCAAUGAAUACUUUAGAUUAUUUUCUUUCCUUUAGAUUAGUUCUUAUUUCUCUUAUUCCUUAAUAGACUAUUCAUUUAAAAUGUAGAAAUCAAGAUCUAUCACCCUAAAAAAGAUCUAACAGAUGCCAGUAACUACAAAAAGAUUGCUUUCACAAUGUCAACGCAUAUUGCUGUCUAUGGUCACUUUGACCCUCAGGUCUUUUUCGGUCAUACAUAUGUAAGUUGGUUUAAUUUCUCUCCUCUAUCUGCAGUGUUCUAUAUUUAUACUUAUCAUUCUAUAUGCUGACACCUGAAUCUGGUGCUCACCUGGCUCCUGAAAUGGAUGCUCUCUUUCUUGCCCACCGUGCACCUCUUACUCAUUUCUUCAUUUUGAUUUCCUAGAACCAGCCCGUAUUUUCUAGAGGUUGCAUGAAGAGCCUCUUUCUCUGGACUGAAACUUGUCUGAAAUUCUCAGCUUCCAUUGGGCUCUUCUCUUUGAAAUGAUGAAAUUGAAUAUUCCUUGUUCCCAUAUUCAACAUAAUAAUACUGCUUGGGAGUUCUCAUUGUAACUCAGUGGUGAUGAACCUGACCAGUAUCUCUGAGGAUACAGGUUCAAUCCCUGGCCUUGCUCAGUGGGUUUAGGAUCCAACAUUGCCACAUGCUGUGGUGUAGGGUGCAGAUGCAGCUCAGAUCUGGCAUUACUGUGGCUGUGAUGUAGGCCUGCAGCUGCAGCUCUGAUUCAACACCUAGCCUGAGAACUUCUGUAUCCUGUAGGUGCAACCCUAAAAAGACAAAAUAAUAAUAGUACUACUACUAAUAAUUAUAACAACAAUGCUUGGAUGACAGCCUCUUUUUUUUUGUCUUUUGCCAUUUCUUGGGCCGCUCUUGCGGCCCAAAGAAAUGGCAAAAAGACAAAAAAAAAAAAAGUGAAAUGUUUACAAAUCAGAGGUAAAUUUGGCAAUUUAAAUGACUGUUAGGAAAGAGAGAAGACAAAUUCUGUAGGAUCUCUCUAUGCUUCCACCUUUCCCUAGAAUACUCAUUUCUUGACUCCCCUCCCCUCCAUCUUCUUGCUCAUGCACACACCUCAACUUGCCAACAAAUGCAGUCUGGUAAUAAGCGGCAGCAAAGAAUUGAAUAAUUUCCCAAGCGAGGCAAGAGAUGAUCUAGUUCUUUGUCUCUAGCAUUUAUGAUUCAUAAGGUGUCAAACAACCUUACGUGCUGUAAAUGGGAGCAAUCAUGUUCCCUGACAGAAAUCCCUGUCUGCAUUUGUUUACUUAGAGAUGACACUUGUUACAUCCAUCAUUCCCAGGAAUCAAAACCUUCUGGCUUGCAGCUGCCAUCCUGCCACACAUGACUUCUAACUAGUUUCUCAAGCUGUCCUCAUCUUUCUGUGGCCAUUGAAAUCAAGUGGGCUUCUUUCAAUUCUAUCAGUAUUUACUAAAUACAAUAUGUUAUUUUUGCUCUAGAAAGUGGCAAGUUGAAAGAGAAGGAGUACUAUAUGCUCUAGCUGUAAGUCCCUCACAGUCUUUUGAAAAUGAGCAGAAACAAGGUAACCAAUAGGAUUGCGACCUUACGCUCAUGGCGUCUACCAAGAUGCAUUAACUGUUUAGAACACGCAGUUGUCAAAGGGGUGCUAUGUCUUCCUACCUGGAACUGAGGACUACCUCUGAUAACUGCUGGAUGCCUGCAGACCCAAGAUGGCUGUUCCAAUAGGCAGUCAUAUAAGACUUCACUGUCUCAGGAACUUCUAGGGCAUGGUGACUGUUUUUCUUGCUUAGACUUAGAGGAACCAGGUGGAUCAGAGUAACUCCGACCGAUAUUAUAUCACAGUAACUACAUGGCCAUUAUAUGGUGAUGCAAUUAAUCGGCAAGGACCAAGCUAUAUCCAUUCUGAUCCAUCACCCUAGCAAGGAUCCUAGAGAAAAGUGAAAGAUUUACAUUUUAACAGAGGAAACAAAAUGAACCCACAGCAGUUAAUAUAGCAUAAAGAAUAAAGUCAAGGCUCUGGAGCCAGACUCUCUGGAUUUGAAUGCUUACUGUGCUGCUUACUAGCUGUAAGACCAUAAACAAUUCUCUUAAUCUAUGCUGUGCCUUGUUAUCGCAUCUGUAAAACCUGAAUGAUAAUAGUCGUGUCUGCUUCAGAGAGUUAUGAGGGUUAAAAGAAUUAAUACUUUAAAUUGUUUUGAGCAAUGUCAUGACCAUAAUAAGGGCUCGAUAUAUUAAUUAAAAUAAUUAUCUUAAAUGUAGGUUAAUUUAGAACCAGCUAAUGUACUAUUAGCCAUGUUGAGAACUCAGAGCAUAUGAAUGAGCUGAGCCUUACACAUUUGGAGCAGGCUAGGAAUACACUCUACAAGAGUCAAAGUUGCAGGAUCCUCAAGCAGAGAAGAGAGUAAACACUCACUGUUUAGAAACUAACUGAGUAAUAGUGGAGCAAGGUGACAGAUUGAGCACAUUGCCUAACCUGACAAAAAACAAUUUUAGAUAUAAUUAAUUUACACUCGUGUAAGAAAAUAAGCAUCUUUAUUGAAUAGAAAUUGAGGGGAGUUACUAUAAUGUAAGGGGGACGGUGUCUAAAUCAGAUUUUAAAUUUCAAACAAGAGAAUUCACCCUGUCUGUUUUAAGCAGAAAAGAAAUUUCUGAAGGAAUAUUAACCACCCCCCAGGAUACAGGAGGAAAAGUAGAGUCAAAAUACAGAGUUAUACAGCCCCAAACCACACCCAAGCGUGCUGUGCCUUCUCUUGCUAAAAUUCCCUGCCACCCCUGCUAAGCCCCCAUCACAUUCAGGACUGGAUAACAGAAGACCCAUCACUACCAUGUUUGAAGCCAUGCUCUAAGUCAGGGGCUGGCAAACUUGUAGGCUGGCCAUUUAUUUUUAUAGAAAAAUGUCUUUUUUUCUAAUUGAAGUAUAGUUUAUUUAGGAUGUAGCAUUAAUUUCUGCUAUACAGCAAAGUGUAUACACACAUACACACUCUUUUAAAAAAUAUUCUUUCCCAUCAUAGUUUAUCAUAGGACAUUGAAUAUAGUUCUCUGUGGGAUACAGCAGGGCCUUGUUGUUUACCCCCUCCGUGUAUAAUUGUUUAUAUCUGCUAAUCCCAACCUCCCACUCCAUCCCUUCCUCGACCCCUCCCCUGAGAAGGGAAAGGAACCCAGCCCUAGAUUACAAAAUGUAAUCAUGGUACCCUCUACCAAUCUCUCAUUGGGUGCAGGGUACAGGAACAGAUACAGCUUCCACAGAGAUGUGAACAAGGAUUUCAAAUGGAAAGACAAGCAUGCUCCUAAUAAUCACAAAGCAUUGGAAGAAAACUAAGCACAAAAGAAUAAAGAUAUAUAGAAGAUAAAAUAACUCAAAAAAUUAUCAGAAAAAAUACAAAAAUACCUUAAAGUUAGUAUAAUUGACAUUUAUAUAGGCUUAAGAGAAGGUAUUGCAUUCAGAAAACAAGAAGAGUAUAUUACUCCAAAAAAGCAUAGACAAAACAUUUUUUUUUUCUUUUAGAGUCACUCCUGUGACAUAUGAAAGUUCCCAGGGUAGGAUUUCAUUGGAGCUGCAGCUGCCAACUUUUACUGCAGCCACAGCAAUGUAGGAUCCAAGCCACAUCUGUGACCUACGCCACAGCUUGCAGGAAGACCAGAUCCUUAAGCCACUGAGAAAGGCCAGGGGUCAAACCCACAUCCUUGUGGACACUAGCCAGGUUCUUACCCACUGAGCCACAAUGGGAACUCUGAAAUUUUUUUUAAUGUGGUAAUAAAAACUAGAUAGAUCUACAUAGGUAAAGAGAGUAAGUAAAAAUAAUCCUAGAAGACACUUCAAGAUGGCAGAGACUUGGGAAGUGUGAGCAAAAAUUUAAGUGGUAUGAAGGAUAGAUUAAAAGUUCUCAUUUCCAUCCCGAAAGAGAAUAUAAAGAAUGAAAUAGGGUGGGAGCCAGGGAAAACCUAAGGGGGAAGAAAAAGAUCUUUGCAUUAAAUGGUGAGCAGGUUGAGUGGUGGGCACGAUUAAUAGGAAAAGUCUUUUGUUUUGGUAACAUUUGAUGAAAUGUAAGACACCAACAAUAAAAAAAUCUUAAAACUCACAGAGAAGAAUAUUACCAUUUUCUUAGGGUUAGAACUACAGUUACCUCAAAGAACGAAGAAUCAGUUUGGCAUCAGAUGUUCCACUGACACCUUGGAUCUUAGAAUAAUGAAGCAGAAAUAGGAAAGAAACAUAAUUAUAAUGAUGAAUAAAAUUUUUACAUGACAAGAGAACACUAUACAAAAAAAUCCAUACGAAAUGAAAAUUGCAUGGGAAAGGUUUGCACAAAAAAGCUAAAGAAUAGAAAAAAUGCACAAAUCUGUGGAAAAAGAUAAGACACCGAAAGAUCUAUACCAUUAAAGCCAACAGUUUCUGCUCUUUCAUAGAUCAUAGCUAUCAGACUUUUUAAGAACAUAUAAUUUGUGUUUCAUAAACUUUUGCAAAGAUGGAAAAAAUGGAAUGAUAUCUAACACAGGCCAAGGCUAGCAUAACCCUUAUACCCAAAGCACAAAGAACUGGCACGGAGAAGGCAAGUUGUAAGCAAUUCUCACCUUUGAACAAAGAUGGGAAAGUCCUAAAUAAAUUUUUUAAUUAAUCAAUACCAAGAACAUGUAAAAUGGAUAAUAACUCAUGUUGUCUUAUUGCUCCAUUUCC